rnacentral:rRNA from 1 species
GGCGAGUGAAGCGGGAAGAGCUCAAAUUUAAAAUCUGGCAGUGUAUUCUGUCCGAGUUGUAGUCUAGAGAAGCAUCAUCCGUGCUGGACCCUGUACAAGUCUCUUGGAACAGAGCGUCAUAGAGGGUGAGAAUCCCGUCCUUGACAUGGACUCCCAGUACUUUGUGUUGUGCUCUCAACGAGUCGAGUUGUUUGGGAAUGCAGCUCAAAAUGGGUGGUAAAUUCCAUCUAAAGCUAAAUAUUGGCGAGAGACCGAUAGCGAACAAGUACCGUGAGGGAAAGAUGAAAAGCACUUUGGAGAGAGAGUUAAACAGUACGUGAAAUUGUUGAAAUGGAAACGCUUGAAGUCAGUCGCGUUCUCUGGGAUUCAGCCUGGCUUUUGCUUGGUGCAUUUCCCGGUCUACGGGCCAGCAUGAAUUUUGACCAAUGGAAAAAGGCUUGGGGAAUGUGGCACCUUCGGGUGUGUUAUAGCCCCUUGUCACAUACGUUGGUUGGGAUUGAGGUCUUAGUGCACGCUUCGGUUGUGCUUUGAUGCUGGCGUAAUGGCUUUAAACGACCCGUCUUGAAACACGGACCAAGGAGUCUAACAUGUCUGCGAGUGUUUGGGUGCAAAACCCGAGCGCGAAAUGAAAGUGAUAGUUGGGAACCUCUUUAGAGGGGCACCGACGCCCGGACCAGACCUUCUGUGACGGAUCCGAGGUAGAGCAUAUAUGUUGGGACCCGAAAGAUGGUGAACUAUGCCUGCAUAGGGUGAAGCCAGAGGAAACUCUGGUGGAGGCUCGUAGCGAUUCUGACGUGCAAAUCGAUCGUCAAAUGUGGGUAUAGGGGCGAAAGACUAAUCGAACCAUUGGUUUUUGCUACUUGGUGGUUAAGAGGUCAUCUGAAAGGAUUUAUGACCUAGUGAGCGUUGAGGCUUGCGACACUGUCAAAUUGCGGGGACGUCCUAAAGCUUUUGCGACCAAGCAUUUGUGGAAACACAAGUGUGGCCGAGUUAAUAGCCCUGGGUAUGGUAAAACUGCAAAAGAUGUUACAAUGGAUAAUCCGCAGCCAAGUCCUAAGGGCUCCUGGUAAUAAAUAUUAUAUUUAUUUCCAAGAGUCUAUGGAUGCAGUUCACAGACUAAAUGGCAGUGGGUGUGUAUUGAGUUGGGAUUUAUUCUGGCUCUACAUGCUUAAGAUAUAGUCGGUCCUGCCGCGAAAGCGGACUGGUGGAUGAAGUUCAUGGUCCCUCAACUUCAAGGCCAUUGUUCUGGAGUCACCGGGUGUGAUUGGGAUUUUUUUUUGGCAAAAUUUAUUUGCUAAAAAUCCC